AGCCAUGAGAUAAGCACAUAGCGAACUAUUCUUUCGCCUUUUACUAAAGAAUACCGUGUGCUUGUCUCUCUAAGUGGCAUACGCCUAUUUUUGAAAGAGCCUUUCAAUAGAGGGCUC
rfam:Vigna radiata var. radiata cultivar VC1973A chromosome 5, whole genome shotgun sequence